AUGCAAAAACAAAAUAGCCAAUUCGACAGGCUGCGGGUCGAGACGGUGUUAGGGAUGGAUGGACGGGCGGGGGUGGCGGCGUUGUUGGGCACAAAUCGCCGGCGGCGGAGGCGGGACAUCAUCAGCAUAGCAGACUCAAAUCGGCAGGUUAGUGGGGAAUACGAUUGCGCUACCGGCGGCGGGGUCGGGGAUGGGCCGACGGGCGACGGCGGCGCGUUUCAGGGCAAAAAUCGCCCGUGGGUGGGCUGGCGGAAGUCAAUCAUGUACUCUUAUAUAUGUCAUAAGAAAAAAAUACAUGUUGCACGCAUCAACAAAAAUUUAUCCGUUCUGUUUUUGGAUCGCCUAGUCACGAGUUCCAUCAGGAGCGAGCCGCGGAGAGAAUCGAUCCGAUCAUUGUGCAGCGGAAGCGAGAUGGUUCGCGUACGUCUACGUAGUGAGAUGGGCAUGUGCUGGACAACACAUCAAUCAAGCUGCCUGCUUGUGUGCUUCCAAUCUAACUUACGUGCUUCAUCCAGCUUUGUUUGGGUGAAUCGAUCUAGCAUGGUCUAA
rnacentral:rRNA from 1 species